rnacentral:rRNA from 2 species
UACGUAGGGGGCAAGCGUUGUCCGGAAUGACUGGGCGUAAAGGGUGUGUAGGCGGGCUCGCAAGUUGGAUGUGUAAUACCCAGAGCUUAACUCGGGUGCUGCAUCUGAAACUACGAGUCUUGAGUGUCGGAGAGGUAAGUGGAAUUCCUAGUGUAGCGGUGGAAUGCGUAGAUAUUAGGAGGAACAUCAGUGGCGAAGGCGACUUACUGGACGAUAACUGACGCUGAGGCACGAAAGCGUGGGGAGCAAACAGG